CAAAGGUUUGGUCCUGGCCUUGGGAUCACUUAUUACUAAACAUACACAUGCAAGUCUCCGCACCCCCGUGAAUAACGCCCUUAUCCCCCCACCCCGGAAUAAGGAGCCGGUAUCAGGCACAACUUCUUGCCCAAGACACCUAGCUUCGCCACACCCACACGGGACUUCAGCAGUGGUUAACAUUGAGUAUAAGCGACAGCUUGACUCAGUUAUAGUAAAAAGAGCCGGCCAAUCUGGUGCCAGCCGCCGCGGUUACACCACGAGGCUCAAAUUGAUCCCCUAUCGGCGUAAAGCGUGAUUAAAGUAACCCCACCCAUUAGAGUUAAACUUGGGCUAAGCUGUGAUUCACUUGCACACAAGAAACUCAGAAGCGAAAGCUACUYUAAUUUUUUCCACUUGAACUCACGACAGCUGGGACACAAACUGGGAUUAGAUA
rnacentral:rRNA from 1 species